GAAGGAAGACAGGAGACAUAGAGAACCCGCCUUCCCCCUACUUUGAGUUGGUCAUUGUUCCACUUGAAUUUGAGUAAUUCUUUACAGACAUGGUGGAUGCUACAGUAGGUGACAAUAGUCCACAGCAUGUAUAAUCCUUAAGACCAGAAACUGAAAUCCGUCUUGCUGAGCUGUAAACGUUUUCAGAGAAUACACACGGGGGAUAAGAUCAGUUCAUCUUUUGAGGAAGUCCUUGAAGAAUAUAACAUCAAGAGCAAAGUCAACUACAUCAUCACGGACAAUGCAUCAAAUAUGAAGAAGGCCUUCAAGGUGCAAUUUCCCCAGGAUGAGGACGAAGGAGAGACGAACGAGCUAGAAGAAUUGGCUGAACAAGAACUAAUGCCUAAUGACCUUGAUGACGAGACAGUAUGGGAAGAGCUGGCAGCAGAGGAUGAAGAAGCAGUCAACGAUGUCUUGAGCAUGAAUUCAAAGAAGCGGCUGUCUUGUUUUGCUCACUCCUUGCAGCUCGUCGUUAAGGAUGGUAUUAAAGAGAUGAAAGGUACCGUAAUUGAGUCAGCAUAUCCUAAAAGCAUAUAAACUAUCGGCACUACUUCACAGGAGCACCAUCUUCAAAGAAAGACCACAAGAAACUCAGUGAUGCUUGUGGCGAGGACUUCAAUGCUGUUCCUUUCUCAACAAGAGAAUGGAGCCAGAUGACAGAGCUUUGUUUGGUAUUGCUGCCCUUUUCUGAGGCAACAGCACUGACACAAGGUGACCAAGUUGUUACAAUCAGCAUGGUUGUACCAACUGUACUGGACCUCUACAACCACAUGAUGAAGACCAAAGAAACAGCAAGACACUGCAGGGUUCUCAUAAGCAAGCUGGCUGAAUCACUCCAGAAACGAUUUCAAGGGAUUUUUGCAUCAUGCAACAUGGUGCAAG